rnacentral:rRNA from 1 species
UUCACUGGGUUUAAAGGGUGCGUAUGCGGGCAGGUAAGUCAGUGGUGAAAUCCUGGAGCUCAACUCCAGAACUGCCAUUGAUACUAUCUUUCUUGAAUAUGGAUGAGGUGGUUGGAAUAUAACAUGUAGCGGUGAAAUGCUUAGAUAUGUUAUAGAACACCAAUUGCGAAGGCAGAUCACUAAACCAUUAUUGACGCUGAGGUACGAAAGCGUGGGGAGCGAGCAGGAUUAGAUACCCUGGUAGUCCACGCCGUAAACGAUGUUCACUCGCUGUUGGCGAUAUACUGUCAGCGGCCAAGCGAAAGCAUUAAGUGAACCACCUGGGGAGUACGAUCGCAAGGUUGAAACUCAAAGGAAUUGACGGGGGCCCGCACAAGCGGUGGAGCAUGUGGAUUAAUUCGAUGAUACGCGAGGAACCUUACCAGGUCUUAAAUGAUAAUUGACCGUCGCCGAAAGGUGUCUUUCUUUUAUACAAGUAUCAAGGUGCUGCAUGGCUGUC